GACGAACGCUGGCGGCGUGCUUAACACAUGCAAGUCGAACGGAAAGGCCUGUCCUUCCUUGUGUUGGACGGGUACUCGAGUGGCGAACGGGUGAGUAACACGUGAGUGAUCUGCCCCCAACUUGGGUAUAAGCCUGGGAAACUGGGUCUAAUUCCCGAUAGGACUGCAGGGUGGUGCCUGUGGUGGAAAACGAUUUUCUAGUGGUUGGGGAUGAGCUCGCGGCCUAUCAGCUUGUUGGUGGGGUAAUGGCCUACCAAGGCGGCGACGGGUAGCCGGCCUGAGAGGGUGGACGGCCACAUUGGGACUGAGAUACGGCCCAGACUGCUACGGGAGGCAGCAGUGGGGAAGAUUGCACAAUGGGCGGAAGCCUGAUGCAGCGACGCCGCGUGGGGGAUGACGGCCUUCGGGUUGUAAACUCCUUUCGACCGCGAGGAAGCCGCCUGGUUGGAAGGGUGGUGACGGUAGUGGUAGAAGAAGCACCGGCUAACUACGUG
rnacentral:rRNA from 1 species